UAGGGAAUCUUCGGCAAUGGACGGAAGUCUGACCGAGCAACGCCGCGUGAGUGAAGAAGGUUUUCGGAUCGUAAAGCUCUGUCGUUAGAGAAGAACGUUGGUAGGAGUGGAAAAUCUACCAAGUGACGGUAACUAACCAGAAAGGGACGGCUAACUACGUGCCAGCAGCCGCGGUAAUACGUAGGUCCCGAGCGUUGUCCGGAUUUAUUGGGCGUAAAGCGAGCGCAGGCGGUUCUUUAAGUCUGAAGUUAAAGGCAGUGGCUUAACCAUUGUACGCUUGGGAAACUGGAGGACUUGAGUGCAGAAGGGGCGAUGGGAAUUCCAUGUGUAGCGGUGAAAUGCGUAGAUAUAUGGAGGAACACCGGUGGCGAAAGCGGCUCUCUGGUCUGUAACUGACGCUGAGGCUCGAAAGCGUGGGGAGCAAACAGG
rnacentral:rRNA from 1 species